CUUCCUGUGAAGCCUCUGGUUUCAGAAAGGUCCCUACCCAGUGUGAACCCCUAGUGAGACUGUUUGUGUUUCUUGUUGUGCACUUUUCUUUCUUUGUGAAAAAAAUAAACAGAGCCCUGAAGAGAGGGACAGAACCCUACCCUGGGUGUGGCUGACUGUCUAUCCCCAGCUAGUGACUAGAGCCACCUGAGUACAGUCCCCUCCAGAUUCCAGCAGUGAAGGAGUUAACUCCUUGCUCAAGUGUCAUGCAGGUGGAAUGGAUUGUGGGGUAAUGAGAUGAGAGAGCUCCUGAGGGAGGGGAAAGCUGGUGAUGAACAGGGCUGAUUGACUAGGAGAAAGGGAGAUACAAAGCAGCCACAGGAACUCCGUGACAGGUUAGAUGGGGGCUGGCUUUGCAGUAGGUUAAGUAGUGCUUGUUUAUUCUUUAGUUUGUGGUAUAUUCAAGUUAAAGCUUGUCUCAUGCAAGCUUAUGACCAGCAUUGGAGAGAAAAGCUUUCUGUGUGAAAGCCUGCAGUUGAACUGUGCUGCCUGACUGGGCCCUUUAGAAGAACUCCUUCACCAAGUGUGCGCGUGUGAUCCCUUCUCCCCGGAAGAAAGUGUGCUCCAAGUUGGGCAAACAGACUGGCCACAUCUUUGGAAUCUACCCCACAAUGGCUGCCACACAUUUGCUUCUAUAAUCUCUGCACUGCCCCAUCUGACUACAACAAAGUACUUUGGGAUACCUGGAUUACGGAAGGCACUAGAGGGCACCAACAGCAUACCAAUAAGUACAGAAAAGAGGAGAAAAG